GACGAACGCUGGCGGCGUGCUUAACACAUGCAAGUCGAACGGAAAGGCCCUGCUUUUGUGGGGUGCUCGAGUGGCGAACGGGUGAGUAACACGUGAGUAACCUGCCCUUGACUUUGGGAUAACUUCAGGAAACUGGGGCUAAUACCGGAUAGGAGCUCCUGCUGCAUGGUGGGGGUUGGAAAGUUUCGGCGGUUGGGGAUGGACUCGCGGCUUAUCAGCUUGUUGGUGGGGUAGUGGCUUACCAAGGCUUUGACGGGUAGCCGGCCUGAGAGGGUGACCGGCCACAUUGGGACUGAGAUACGGCCCAGACUCCUACGGGAGGCAGCAGGGGGGAAUAUUGCACAAUGGGCGGAAGCCUGAUGCAGCAACGCCGCGUGCGGGAUGACGGCCUUCGGGUUGUAAACCGCUUUCGCCUGAGACGAAGCGUGAGUGACGGUAAUGGGUAAAGAAGCACCGGCUAACUACGUG
rnacentral:rRNA from 1 species